rnacentral:lncRNA from 1 species
UCCCUUACGUUUAGAAAGUUUCAAUUUGAUCUCUUACGUUUAUUUUAGGUUUCAAGUUAGUCAUUUCCGGAAGUUUUGUCACUAACACUGUUUGAACAGUACACGUGUCAAUGUGUACAAGUGCCACGUGUCUGUCCACAUAUGCAAAUUGGCUGUCACAUUGACAAAAUUGACGGAAAUGACUAACUUGAAACAUAAAAUAAACGUAAGGGACCAAAUUG